GGGAAUCUUGCGCAAUGGGCGAAAGCCUGACGCAGCGACGCCGCGUGGGGGAAGAAGGCCUUAGGGUUGUAAACCUCUUUCAGCAGGGACGAAGCCACUCGGGUUAAUAGCCCAGAGGGUGACGGUACCUGCAGAAGAAGCCCCGGCUAACUACGUGCCAGCAGCCGCGGUAAUACGGAGGGGGCAAGCGUUGUCCGGAUUUAUUGGGCGUAAAGAGCGUGUAGGCGGCCGCACAGGUCCGUUGUGAAAACUGGAGGCUCAACCUUCAGACGUCGAUGGAAACCGUGCGGCUAGAGUCCGGAAGAGGAGAGUGGAAUUCCUGGUGUAGCGGUGAAAUGCGCAGAUAUCAGGAAGAACACCCGUGGCGAAGGCGGCUCUCUGGGACGGUACUGACGCUGAGACGCGAAAGCGUGGGGAGCGAAC
rnacentral:rRNA from 1 species